rnacentral:rRNA from 1 species
CCUACGGGAGGCAGCAGUGAGGAAUAUUGGUCAAUGGGCUUACGCCUGAACCAGCCAAGUCGCGUGAGGGAAGACUGCACUAUGGGUUGUAAACCUCUUUUGUCAGGGAGCAACGCCGGCUACGUGUAGCCGGACUGAGAGUACUUGAAGAAAAACCACCGGCUAACUCCGUGCCAGCAGCCGCGGAAAUACGGAGGGGGCAAGCGUUAUCCGGAUUUUCUGGGUGUAAAGGGGGCGCAGACGGCGAUGCAGUCCAGGGGUGAAAGCCCGGGGCCCAACCCCGGGACUGCUCUUGGAACUGGGUGGCUGGAGUGGGGGAGAGGCAGGCGGAAUUCGUGGUGUAGCGGUGAAAUGCGUAGAUAUCGGGAGGAACACCGGUGGCGAAGGCGGCCUGCUGGCCUGCAACUGACGUUGAGGCCCGAAAGCGUGGGGAGCGAACAGGAUUAGAUACCCCUGUAGUC